rnacentral:rRNA from 1 species
AAGCUCGUAGUUGAAUUUCCGGCCUGGCUGUCCGGUCCGCCUCACCGCGUGCACUGGUUCGGCCGGGCCUUUCCCUCCGGGGAACCGCAUGUCCUUUACUGGGCGUGUCGGGGAACCGGGACUUUUACUUUGAAAAAAUUAGAGUGUUCAAAGCAGGCCUAUGCUCGGAUACAUUAGCAUGGAAUAAUAGAAUAGGACGUGCGGUUCUAUUUUGUUGGUUUCUAGGACCGCCGUAAUGAUUAAUAGGGACAGUCGGGGGCGUCAGUAUUCAAUUGUCAGAGGUGAAAUUCUUGGAUUUAUUGAGGACUAACUACUGCGAAAGCAUUCGCCAAGGAUGUUUUCAUUAAUCAGGAACGAAAGUUAGGGGAUCGAAGACGAUCAGAUACCGUCGUAGUCUUAACCGUAAACUAUGCCGACUAGGGAUCGGGCGGUGUUAUCUUUUGACCCGCUCGGCACCUUACACGAAAGUAUAAGUUCUU